rnacentral:rRNA from 1 species
CACGAACGCUGGCGGCGUGCCUAAUACAUGCAAGUCGAACGGUCUUUUCUAUGGAAGCUUGCUUCCACUGAGAAGAUAGUGGCGAACGGGUGAGUAACACGUGGGUAACCUGCCCAUAAGAGGGGGAUAAUAUCCGGAAACGGGUGCUAAUACCGCAUAGUUUUCUUGAUCGCAUGAUCGGGAAAGGAAAGACGGCCUUUGUGCUGUCGCUUAUGGAUGGACCCGCGGCGUAUUAGUUAGUUGGUGAGGUAACGGCUCACCAAGACGAUGAUACGUAGCCGACCUGAGAGGGUGAUCGGCCACAUUGGGACUGAGACACGGCCCAAACUCCUACGGGAGGCAGCAGUAGGGAAUCUUCCGCAAUGGACGAAAGUCUGACGGAGCAACGCCGCGUGAGUGGAGAAGGUUUUCGGAUCGUAAAACUCUGUUGUCAGAGAAGAACAAGUUGGAGAGUAACUGCUCCAGCCUUGACGGUAUCUGACCAGAAAGCCACGGCUAACUACGUGCCAGCAGCCGCAGUAAAAC